rnacentral:tRNA from 1 species
GCCGGGAUAGCUCAGUUGGUAGAGCGCCCGCCUUGUAAGCGGAUGGUCGCCGGUUCGAUUCCGGCUCCCGGCACCA